rnacentral:rRNA from 1 species
AGAGUUUGAUCCUGGCUCAGGAUGAACGCUAGCGGCAGGCCUAAUACAUGCAAGUCGAACGGGCUGGAGUAGCAAUACUCUAGUUAGUGGCGCACGGGUGCGUAACGCGUAUGCAACCUACCUUUUAUUGGGGGAUAGCCCGAAGAAAUUCGGAUUAAUACCGCAUAACACUGUUUGAGGGCAUCUGAAGACAGUUAAAGCUACGGCGAUAAAAGAUGGGCAUGCGUGUCAUUAGCUAGUUGGUGAGGUAACGGCUCACCAAGGCGACGAUGACUAGGGGUUCUGAGAGGAUGAUCCCCCACACUGGUACUGAGAUACGGACCAGACUCCUACGGGAGGCAGCAGUAGGGAAUAUUGGGCAAUGGCCGAAAGGCUGACCCAGCCAUGCCGCGUGCCGGAUGAAGGCCUUCUGGGUUGUAAACGGCUUUUACCAGGGAAGAAACUACCUUUGCGAAGGGAACUGACGGUACCAGAGGAAUCAGCAUCGGCUAACUCCGUGCCAGCAGCCGCGGUAAGACGGAGGAUGCAAGCGUUAUCCGGAAUGAUUGGGCGUAAAGCGUCCGCAGGUGGCAGUUCAAGUCUGCUGUCAAAGACCGGGGCUUAACUUCGGAAAGGCAGUGGAAACUGAACAGCUAGAGUAUGGUAGGGGCAGAGGGAAUUCCUGGUGUAGCGGUGAAAUGCGUAGAGAUCAGGAAGAACAUCGGUGGCGAAGGCGCUCUGCUGGACCAUAACUGACACUCAGGGACGAAAGCUAGGGGAGCGAAUGGGAUUAGAUACCCCCGUAGUCC